rnacentral:rRNA from 1 species
AUUGAACGCUGGCGGCAGGCCUAACACAUGCAAGUCGAACGAGUGGCGGACGGGUGAGUAAUGUCUGGGAAACGGCCUGAUGGAGGGGGCUAACUACUGGAAACGGUAGCUAAUACCGCAUACCAACGGAUGUGCCCCGAUGGGAUUGGCUAGUAGGUGGGGUAACGGCUCACCUAGGCGACGAUCCCUAGCUGGUCUGAGAGGAUGAACGGCCCCUCUGGACUUGAGACACGGUCCAGACUCCUACGGGCGGUAGCAGUGGUGAAUAUUGCACUAUGGGCGCAAGCAUGAGGCAGCCAUGCCGCGUGUAUGAAGAAGGCCUUCGGGUUGUAAAGUACUUUCAGCGGGGAGGCGUUACCCGCAGAAGAAGCACCGGCUAACUCCGUGCCAGCAGCCGCGGUAAUAC